rnacentral:rRNA from 1 species
UGCAAGUCGAGGGGUAGAGUUCUUCGGAAUUUGAGACCGGCGCACGGGUGCGUAACGCGUAUGCAAUCUGCCUUUUACAGAGGGACAGCCCAGAGAAAUUUGGAUUAAUACCUCAUAGCAUAGCAAUCUCGCAUGAGAUCACUAUUAAAGUCACAACGGUAAAAGAUGAGCAUGCGUCCCAUUAGCUUGUUGGUAAGGUAACGGCUUACCAAGGCUACGAUGGGUAGGGGUCCUGAGAGGGAGAUCCCCCACACUGGUACUGAGACACGGACCAGACUCCUACGGGAGGCAGCAGUGAGGAAUAUUGGACAAUGGGCGCAAGCCUGAUCCAGCCAUGCCGCGUGCAGGAUGACGGUCCUAUGGAUUGUAAACUGCUUUUGUACGAGAAGAAACACUCCUUCGUGAAGGAGCUUGACGGUAUCGUAAGAAUAAGGAUCGGCUAACUCCGUGCCAGCAGCCGCGGUAAUACGGAGGAUCCAAGCGUUAUCCGGAAUCAUUGGGUUUAAAGGGUCCGUAGGCGGUCUUGUAAGUCAGUGGUGAAAGCCCAUCGCUCAACGGUGGAACGGCCAUUGAUACUGCUGGACUUGAAUUAUUAGGAAGUAACUAGAAUAUGUAGUGUAGCGGUGAAAUGCUUAGAGAUUACAUGGAAUACCAAUUGCGAAGGCAGGUUACUACUAAUGGAUUGACGCUGAUGGACGAAAGCGUGGGUAGCGAACAGGAUUAGAUACCCUGGUAGUCCACGCCGUAAACGAUGGAUACUAGCUGUUGGAAGCAAUUUCAGUGGCUAAGCGAAAGUGAUAAGUAUCCCACCUGGGGAGUACGUUCGCAAGAAUGAAACUCAAAGGAAUUGACGGGGGCCCGCACAAGCGGUGGAGCAUGUGGUUUAAUUCGAUGAUACGCGAGGAAACCUUACCAAAGGCUUAAAUGUAGAUUGACCGUUUUGGAAACAGAACUUUCGCAAGACAAUUUACAAGGUGCUGCAUGCUUGUCGUCAGCUCGUGCC